AUCCUUUUUGAAAUUCACAUUUUGAAUUGUUUUUUUAUUGGGAAGAUCCAACCAUGGAUUCCAUGAAGGACUUCCAUCUAAGCUCGAUGUUCCCUGUAACUCAUCUUUUUAAUUUCUUCCUUUCCUUUCUUCUCCAAGUACAUGCAACGACCUAUGGUAAAAAAUUAACAAAUUUAAAAAAUGCCCACAUCAAGAACAAAGCGGUUGAAACACAACAUUUCAAUUAUUUUUUGGAUUCUUAUGUGUGCGUAUCAUCAAUUUUAUCUAUUUUGCUUAUGCAUGAUUCAAAAUAUAAAUAGAUACGUAUAUAACUCUGGAUCUUUUCUUUAAUGCACACACUGCAUCUAAGGUGCUUUCUGUGCUGAUAGUUUAGUUCACUUUAAUUUAAUUUUCCCGAUAAUCUUACUUCUGUUACAUCUACCUGCUCUGGGGUUGAAACGCGAAGAAGUGGAAGGAGUUGCUAUUUAUGUUUUUUGAGUGUGGGGUGAUUAUUAUCAGAAAGAACAAGCAAAUUUGAAGGGAUGUGUAGUGAUGGAUCAUUGUAAAAUGGAGCAAAACAGGGCAAUGUGAGACUCAGAGCCUGUCUCUUCUUCUUUAUGUGGGAUAUGGUAUGUUUAAAAUCCUUCGGACAUCAAUCACUACAACUUUAGAAAAAGAGAAACGUUGUAUUUUUCAUAUAUUUUUAAAAAAACAUAGACAGGGAGAGCGAGAGAAAGAGGUAUGAGCAAGGUACAGUGAAAUUACUUCAUUCCCAGUGUUCCAGAAUGAUAUGCGCUCGAGGAUCACGCCUCUGUGAGCUUCUCUUUUCUAUAUUUAUUCAUAUUUACUCUAGACUGUACAUCACUUCAUGUACUUAAAUAAUGAUUGCAUUGGUAUUAAUCUACAAGGUGUGGUCAUCUAGAAAGUGAGUACUAAAUACCUAUGGAAAAUAAAAUACUCAUUCGCUUUUUCGUUACAUGGUUACAGAUGGGAAAAUCAAGAGUAGGGAUUAAGAUCUAGAGGGUUGUUGUGAUUAAUUAUAUUUACUAAGAGCCACAAAAUCAGUAUCUUUUUAUGUUCAUUAUGGUUGUGUUGACACAUUAUUGGACUUAGUCCAGAGAGCUAAUGUAUCUCUCAAGAAAAGAUUGGAAACUACAUAUAAGAUGUAGAUUCUCUUAAUGGUGUGAGGUCUUUCGAGAAAAACCUUACAAUCAUGGCAGUCACAAUCAUUUACAAGCUUUAUGCCAAUUUGAACUUUAUUACAGUGGACUUUUGUGUUUGGAGUUCAUAGUUGCUCAUGUGAAGAUGAAACAUCUUCUUUCCCUCGUAGGCUUCUUUUCACUUUAAAUUAAAAUUCAUUCACUGACUUUUAAAUUCUUGGAAAGUAUUGUUUCAAUAUGUUGAUAAAGUUCUUCAAUCAUAACCAAGCUUGGGCUUGACUUUUUGGGCUGACACAUUAAGGUUAUUUGCGUCAGUCGCAUAAUCCUCAGGGGUAUUGGGAAGAACUCAAUAAAAAUAUAGACAUGCUAUGUGACUAAAAUUCCCAAAGGUUAGUAAUGCAUUCACGUUCUGUCAAUUAUUUGAUUGCCUUUCAACUUACUUACGAUCUAUAUUGGAUUGGAGUUGGUUAAUGAGUCUUACCCUUUUUCUUUUUGGUAAGGCAAUUCGUUCUAAUUUCAAAAGUUGAACUUAACAGAAAACAGUAUUGGGCUUGUAGUAGGGACAACAAGGCGGAUGGAACUCGAGAUGAGCAAGAUGAGAAGUACAUCACUCGAUACCAUUAAGAGAGAGAGAGAGAGUUGAAUUUGAGAGUAUAGAAGGUCCCUGAGAUCGAGCAGUAGGUAAUCUAACGUCGUUUUGCUCGAUUAUUGCCAUUUUUCGAUUAGAUUAUUGUUGUUAUUUAACGGAAAUCAGUUCAUGCAUAUGAAUAAUAUUGGGUGCUUCAAAAUGGUGAUGAGUAUGCAUAGAAUAUUUCAGAUUUGUUUCUUGUAUGGUGUCUCGAGUCUGUUUUUAAUGCUAAUAAUGAUUGAUGGUGGGAAAAUUCUGCACAUAAUUUCAGAGUACACAAACUCUUGUUGUUUCUUCUGAUUGGGAAAGAAUAGGGGUUUGGGAAUUUUUAGGAAAGAUUUAUUUUAUUUCUAUUCAAGUACAAGUAGACUUCAACUGAGCUCAGAAAGUAUAAAAUAUCAACUCUUAUAUAAAGAGUGUUCAUCCAUGUAUAUACUCAAAAGACAAGAAUAUGUAUGCCAUCAACUUAGUGGACCAGAUGAUAAAUCAUAAGACUUAUUAUUUCAGAACUUUCAAGACAUUAUGAUAGAAGGAAAAGUGUUGAUAAAAUUGAAUGUCAAAUGGUUUCUUUCUCGUGAUAAUUGAUAUCAAUUGGUGGAGAAAAAACAAGCCUAACCUAUAAGUGCAACUUUUGUUGGAUGAUAAGGAUUACUAUUUUGGAAGUCUAUUACUAACAAAUAGAAAGAAUGUACUUCGUACACAACUUCCAGAUUGACAAUAGUUAACAAGUAAAGAUUGUGCUAUUGCAAUAGUAGCAUUUAUCAAAGGGUACUAUUUGAUUCUUUAACUCUCAUUAUUUGGAUGUUUUUAUUAUUGUUACUUGAAUUUAGUGUUCAAAUUCUAUUAUCGAUCUUCAUAUUUUGUGAUGUAUGAACUCAUGUUCAUUUUGUAUUAUCAUGUCAACUGCUUCUCCUAGCAUAUGAUAAACGAAGAAGAUAUUCACAAACCCAAAUGAUACUACUUUAAUUUGGUUGUUUUUUCUAUUUAUUGCUUGUGACUCAUAUAUUAUGAGAUAUGGUUGUAAUGUGUCUAAAGCUUGAGAUUCUGAAAGUUACUAGCAAUGAAAAAAGUUUAUGAAAAGCUUUUGAAGUACCCUAACCACAAACAUUUUGUUUGACACGACAUCUACGAAUAUGCUUACCAUGACCCUUGGACAAGUGAUUUGCAGCGUCUUUGGACCAUGGUACUUUGUAUAACCAAGAGUAAAUAAGAGAGAGAGAGAUGAUUAUGAGACACCGAAGAGAUUAGCACAGAAUGUAAUAGAGGCUGACCAUUAAUCACAUUGAAUUGACAUUUGGGGAUAACAGAGGGACAAACUUUGAUCCUAACUUCUAAGUGGCUCAGCAGAGGAAACAAAAAGGAGAAUGGAGGAGAAAUCAGAGCUGAAGAUUCCUGUAAUUCCAUGGCGACUCUGGAUUAACUUUAAGACCGUAUUCGUCUCUUUCUAGAUGUAUGGAAAAAAAGGUGACUCAAUUAAUCAUAUUUUCCCAAAGCAGACUUGUAAACAUUGAUAAUAAGAAAUGCCUCUUUCUGUUUUCUCCGUAGACUAAUGUUGUACUGUUAUUAUACGAGAAAAUCAAUAAUACAGUUAAGUAUUGA